UAAUGCUACACUCACUGUGAACUGAAAGAACCAGAAUUGCCCAUAAUCUUGGACUUGGUGUAUGGAUUAGCUAAUGCCCUUGGACAUGGUUAGCUUGUUAUUUUAAAAGAUUGUAAUGUCUGCUGUGAAGUUUGUAAAAAUUUAACCUCCUGUUCUGCUGCUUUGCUGCAUGUUUCUGGUAGAAUUUCCAUUGAUGAAAUAAAACGUUUUGGGAAGCCAAAGAGCAUCUCUAACCCCAGGCAGCACAUUAGCAUGAACUGUACUAAUGCAUAUACCCCAAAAUAUGAAAAUAAUAAGGUUCAUGGGAACCUACAUAUAUACAUUAUUCUGAUGGCUGAUGUGUACAAAAAUGAAAAAGUAUAAGGGAGUUUUCUUCAAACUUGGGAAGAGCCAAAGAAAUUGCACAUUGCACAUGCCAAGAAAAUAAGGGUACUUAGAAACGGACUACAGAGGUAAUGAAGAGAGCAGUGAUGGUUAAAUUUGGUGGAUUAACACCAAAGAAAUCUCCAACAUGACAAAGGAAUUGUUAAAGAGGGCGGCACAAAGUUUAGUAUAGUCCAGUUAGUCACAAAUUUUAAUAAUGUUGCAGCGUCAUUGGUUGUUAGCAAAGCAAGCACAUAAUCCACAAUGAAGCCAUAUAAUAUUGCAGGGUCAUCUUGUUAGGGACAAAACUGGCAUCUUCUUUGUGUCAUAAUCUUAUACCACAUGCAUCCCAAUGAAGUAAUAAAUCCAUACGUAUCCCAAUUGGAAAUCAGUAGGUUCAGAGAUACAGCCAAAGAGAAAAAUAGCCAGGAAAAUGAGUUGGUUCAGAGAUCCAGUAAUCACUCUUUCAAGAUUUCUGCUUUUGUUCCUUCUCUUAGUUCUCAUCAAGAUCUUUCACAAACUAUGGUGGACUCCGAUUCGCAUCCAGCAUAUGUUGGCUUUGCAGGGAAUCAAGGGCCCUUCUUACAGACUUAUCCACGGAAGCACCAAAGAAAUCAUGAGCAUGAAAAAGGAAACAAUGGGAAGGCCCAUGAAUUUAUCACAUGAUAUAUUACCUGAAGUUCAACCUCAUAUUCAUUCAUGGACCAAGAUAUAUGGUAAUAAUAAACUCUUACCUAACUUGGCUUUUAAAUCUUAGUUCCGAGAAAUAAUCUGACUUUUUUUUUUCUCCAACAGGGAAGAAUUUUCUGCAGUGGUAUGGUUCUCAAGCUCAAUUAGUUAUUGGGGAACCUGAAUUGUGCAAAGAGAUACUGAAUAACAAACAUAGAGCUUAUUCAAAAAAGGGGGCCUCAAGCCUAUGUAAAGAAACUAUUAGGAGAUGGCCUUGCAUCAAGGGAAGGUGAAAAAUGGGGAAAAUUGCGAAAGCUGGCCAACCAUGCCUUCCAUGGAGAUAGCUUAAAAGUAAGUUGUGCAGACUUACAGUUACUGCCAAGUCUUGCAAAUUUUCAAACUGUAUGAUAUGGCAUUGUUGUUUGUUUUUACUGGAGUAUUGAUUCCAACAAUGACAGCUAGUGUUGAGACGAUGUUAGUAAGGUGGAAAAAACAUGAAGGCAAAGAGAUUGAGGUGUUUGAAGAAUUUAGAUUGUUGACUUCAGAAGUGGUUUCCAGGACAGCAUUUGGCAGCAGCUACUUAGAAGGGAAGAACCUUUUUGAGAUGUUGAUGAAGUUAUACUUCUUGAUAUUCAAAAAUUUGUUCAAAUUCAGGUUUCCUGGCAUCAGGUAACUUCAUUUUGUUGAAUUUCUCUAUGACUUAUCAAUUUUAAUGAUGUUCUGUUCUCAUUUCACAUGUUCAUAUCUUUCAUUCUAUGUUGCAGUAAGCUUAUUAAAACCAAAGGAUGAGGUCGAAUCAAAGAAGCUAGAGAAAGGAAUACGUGAGGGCAUAAUAGAGAUUGUCAAGAAACGAGAAGAGAAGGCGAUAAUGAUUGGAGAAACAGACAGCUUUGGGAGUGAUUUUCUUAAAGGCUCAUCAUGAUUCCAAUGAGAAGCAGAGGAUUUCGGUGGAUGAUUUGGUUGACAAAUGCAAGACAUUUUAUUUUGCUGGCUUGGGCUGUCUUUCUCCUGGCACUCCAUACAGAUUGGCAAGAGGAGGCAAGAAAGGGGAUCCUGCAAAUAUUUGGCAAACAAACUCCAAACUCUGAUGGCCUUGCCAAACUAAAAACAGUAAGAAUGUCACACAGUCAAUUGCUUGUCCAAGUGACAAAAAAAUGUUCAACUAAUAUGUAUAAAAUCCGGAUUUGUUCUCUAUUUUUCCUUUUGAUGCAUGCAAAUUGCAAUGCAGAUUGGUAUGAUCAUCAAUGAGUCUCUAUGGUUGUAUCCUCCUAUUGUUUCCAUUGCAAGGAAAGUUGAAAGGGAAGUUAGACUAGGAAAGCUCAUAGUUCCUGCUAAUGUUGAAAUAUUCAUCCCAAGUCUAGCAAUUCACCAUGAGCCUCAACUCUGGGGAGAAGAUGCGCACCUUUUCAAAUGGGAGCGAUUCUCUGAAGGGAUUGCUAAAGCCACAAAGAACAAAAUAGCUGCAUUCUUACCCUUUGGAAUGGGUCCAAAAGUUACUGGUUAUUCAACUGAUUUUGAGGGCUUAUUGGAGGAUUGUCAGAUCUGGAAACCUACUUCUAAUGGUUAUUCUCUGUCAAGUCCGCUUACAGCUUGCAUUUUUAGGGGGUAGAUUGGCUAAAUCCUUGGUAGAGAGUUCUAUGGAAGCUUCGAAUCCCUCCUAAAUUCCAAAUUUUCUUUUGGUUGGUUUUUCAAGAGAAAAUUCUCUCCAAUGAGCAGCGAAUUCGAAGACAUCUUACUGGAAAUUGUGCCUGCGAUUAUUGUAAGUGGCCUAUUGAAUCUACUUUGCAUAUCUUAAGAGAUUGUUCUAGAGCUAGAAAGGUUUGGGAUCUCUUUAUGAAUUCUACGCAAGCUUCGCCUUUUUUCCAAAUUGAUUUUCAUCCUUGGUUGUUAAACAAUUUGUGCUCAAAGGCUCACUUUGUUCAGAUUCCAUGGAGAAUUAUGUUUGUUUUUAUAUGUUGGUAUAUUUGGAAAUGGAGAAAUGACUUUAUUUUUAAAGAUGAAACUGAUUUGCCUUUUAACCCAGAGAUUUGAUUUGUACUGCUGCAAAGGAUUGGUUUCAGGCCAUUAUUAAUACUAAUAGUGGAGCUAAUAAGGUGCAAGUGUUGUUGGCUUGGGUCCCUCCUGAAAUUGGUUUGGUCAAGUUAAAUAUAGAUGGGUCUUGCAGGGGCAGUACUGGUGCCAUUGGUGCUGGAGGGGUCCUAAGAGAUCAUUUGGGUCAAUGGAUUGGUGGCUUUGCUGUCAAUUUAGGUCAGGGAGAAGUGCUUGAAGCUGAGUUGUGGGGUCUGUUUUUUGGAUUGAAUUUGGCUAUUGAGAAAAAAUUACAUGAUAUUGUUAUUGAGAUGGAUUCUGAUACUACUGUGCUUCUUAUUUAGAGUAAGGUUUUGAAUGAUUGUCAUCCUCAUGCUGGGUUGGUCAGCAGCUGUAAAAGGCUAAUGAAUCUGUUUUGAAGGAUCAAGCUUCAACAUAUCUAUAGAGAGAGGAAUGAUGUAGUUGAUGGGUUAGCUACUUGGAGUCACAAUCAGGACCUGGGCUGUUACUAUUUUGAGGAGAGUCUUGCCUGGCUUGGUUGUUUAUUGCUAAAUGAUUCUCUGGGAGCUGUUAAGGCUCGUCUGAUUAGUAGUAAUUAGUUGUUGUGUUGGUGUUUAGGGGUUUUCCCCCCUUUUCUUCAUUAAAAAAAAAAAGAAAAAAAAAAGCAAAAGGCAGAGAAUGAUGAAACAUUCAAAAUACCAGAAAAUACCCUUGGUUAAUUCAAACAUUAAGAAUUGAAAUUAUUAAUUAAAUGAGGAUAAUAUGGUAAAUUCACAUUUUUUUUAUAUUUAAAAAAUUAAAAUUAAAAACAAAAUCAGAUAAUAGGUCAUACUUUUAUGGAACAUAACUAUCCAUAUUUUAUUUUAUUAAUUCUUAAAUAAAAAAAACAAAAAAAAAACCAAUUCGCAUGUGCCAAGAAGCUAGUAUGUAUUAUGGUAGUAUUUUAUAAUUUAUACAUCGUUUUAUUUUGCAUAAUUUUAGUAUAAAUUAAUAAUUUAUAAGACUAAAUAAAAAAUAAAUAAAAGAAAUAGGCCUUACUUCCUCCUCUAGUGGUAGGCCCUGCCUACUGCCUAGCGAUUUUUCUUUAUAUACAAGUUGUUGUCUUUUUAGAUUGGGUCAAAAUUGACAGUCGUAUCUUAUACUACCCAAUUUAUUAUUACAGUAACAGAGCAAGACAAUUUAAAUAGUCAACUGAGGGAGCUGAAUAUUGAUCUGGUUCAGAAAUCUAGCAAAAGAGAAAAAAUAUACUAAAAAAAAAAUGGAUUCCUCUGGAGAAGUAGCAAUCAUUCUUUCAAGCUCUGUGUGUCUGUUCCUCUUUUUAGCUCUCAUCAAGAUCUUUCACAAGCUAUGGUGGAAACCAACAAGCAUACAGAGGCUGAUGGCUUUGCAGGGCAUCAAGGGCCCUGCUUACAGACUUGUCCAUGGAAACACCAAAGAAAUCUUCAACAUGCAAAAUGAAGCCAUGGGCAAGCCCAGAGGUUUAUCACAUGACAUAUUUUCCAGAGUUCAACCUCAUUUUCACUCCUGGACCAAGUUAUAUGGUAAAGAAACUCCUCAUUGACUAUGGUUUAUGGGUCUUUGUUCUGAAAUAACUUUGGUCGUCUUUUGCAACAGGGAAGAAUUUUCUUCAAUGGUAUGGUCUUCGACCUCAAUUGAUCAUCACGGAACCUGAGUUGUGCAAGGAGAUACUGAAUGACAAAGAUAGAGCUUAUACGAAAAGCAAGCCCAAAAGCUUUGUGAAGCAGCUACUGGGAGAUGGACUCGUGACAACAACCAACAUUGAAAAAUGGGGAAAAUUGAGAAAGGUGGCCAACUAUGCUUUCCAUGGAGAGAGCUUAAAAGUAAGUUCUUACAGUUGUUUAUGAAUGGCAGAAAAAUAAGAAAGGCAUAAAUUGAAAGUAAAUUUGUUAAUGGCAUGAUGGUAGAGUAUGACUCCGGCAACGAUAGCUAGUGCUGAGAUUAUGCUUGAAAGGUGGAAAAAUCAAGAUGGCAAAGAGAUUGAGAUGUUUGAAGAAUUUCGGUUGCUCACCUCAGAAGUGAUUUCCAGGACAGCAUUUGGCAGCAGCUACUUAGAAGGGGAGAAGAUUUUUGAGAUGCUGAUGAAGUUAUCAUUCUUAUCUUUCAAAAACAUUUUGAAACUCAGGAUUCCUGGUAUCAGGUGAAUUCUUUUUUCUUUUUCUUUUUUUCAUUUUCCCCAUCUGCUGCACAUCAAAGAACAAUUCCACAAACGAAUUCUUGGAUUAUUAGUUUAGUUCUCAUGUUUAGUCUUUCAUUGAAUAUUACAGUAAGUUUUAUAAAACAUGCGAUGAGAUCGAAUCAGAGAAUCUUGAGAAAGGAGUAUAUAACUCCAUAAUAGAGAUUGUUAAGAAAAGAGAAAAGAAGGCAAUGGCUGGAGAAGAAGAUGGCUUUGGGAGUGAUUUUCUUGGAUUACUUUUGAAGGCUUAUCAUGAUGCCAAUGACAACCAGAGGAUUUCUGUAGAUGAUUUAGUUGAUGAGUGCAAGACAUUUUACUUUGGCGGACAAGAAACUUCUAAUAGUUUGCUUGCUUGGACUGUCUUUCUUUUGGCAAUCCAUACGGAUUGGCAAGAGGAAGCAAGAAAGGAGGUCCUAGAAAUAUUUGGAAAACAAAAUCCGAAUACGGAUGGCAUUGCUAGACUAAAAACAGUAAGAAAGUCCAGUACUUAUUCAAUCGCUUCUUCAAGUGGCAUAAAUGUUCUUCAUUAACUAUGAAAUACUGAUUUCUUUUCAAAUAUUCAUUUUCAUGCAGAUGACUAUGAUCAUCAAUGAGACUCUGAGGUUAUAUCCGCCUGUUGUUGCCCUUGAGAGGGAAGCUGAAAGGGAAGUUAGGCUGGGAAACCUCAUUAUCCCUGCUGCUGUUGAACUUGUCAUUCCAUGUUUAGCAUUUCACCAUGAGCCUGGAUUCUGGGGACAAGACGUGCAUCUUUUCAAACCGGAGAGAUUCUCUGAAGGGGUUGCUAAAGCUACUAAGAAUAACAUAGCCACAUUCUUACCAUUUGGUAUGGGACCACGAAAUUGUGUGGGUUUGAACUUUGCAACCAAUGAAGUAAAGAUUGUUCUGUCAAUGAUUUUACAACGCUACUCUUUCACCCUCUCCCCGGCCUAUGUCCACUCUCCCUUUCGGCUUCUUACAGUUCGCCCUCAACAUGGACUUCAAAUAAUGCUACACUCACUGUGAACUGAAAGAACCAGAAUUGCCCAUAAUCUUGGACUUGGUGUAUGGAUUAGCUAAUGCCCUUGGACAUGGUUAGCUUGUUAUUUUAAAAGAUUGUAAUGUCUGCUGUGAAGUUUGUAAAAAUUUAACCUCCUGUUCUGCUGCUUUGCUGCAUGUUUCUGGUAGAAUUUCCAUUGAUGAAAUAAAACGUUUUGGGAAGCCAAAGAGCAUCUCUA
rnacentral:lncRNA from 1 species